CGCCAAAUUACUUAUUUACCUCUGUAGUUAUUGCAUUUGGGUUCAACUUAUACGGGCACAUGGUUUUGGCAUGAGCCCUAAAGCAUGUGGCGCAUACGUGUAGUAAUCUGCAGUCAUGAAAAUGAUAUACCCCUGUAUUCAAAUUAUUACCGAUUUGUGGGUAAUUACAUGGGUAGUGAGGGGUGGGGGGGAAGGUGAGGUGGGGGGCCUACCCUGUGAGUUGAUAGAUGUGAGUACUUGUGCAAACCCUAUGGGAGGAGGAUCUAUGUCUAUCAUUAAUGGACUGAAGAGAUGACAGAAUGGUGUUUAGAGUUCCUAGUAUAUCUGAGCUGUGUCCCUGUGAGCUGGUACCCAGCCCAGGAUCCUCAGGACGCGCUGUAAGCAGCU